GAUGAACGUUGGCGGCGUGCCUAACACAUGCAAGUCGAACGCUAGUAGCAAUAUUAGAGUGGCGCACGGGUGAGUAACACGUAGCUUACCCACCUCCCAGCGCGGGAUAACGGUUCGAAAGAACUGCUAAUACCGCAUAAGCUCACGGGCUAUAGAGGCUAGUGAGAAAAGGCUUAGGUCACUGGGAGCGGGGGCUGCGGCCCAUCAGCUGGUUGGGGCGGUAACGGCGCACCAAGGCGACGACGGGUAGGGGACCUGAGAGGGUGA
rnacentral:rRNA from 1 species